UCUCUUGAGCCUAGGAGGUCAAGGUUGCAGUGAGCCGUGAUCAUGCCACUGCACUCCCACCUGGGUGACAGAGUGAAACUCGGUCUCAAAAAUAAUAAUAAUGUUUGAGAAAUCAUUCAAUUUAAGCAGGUACUAAAGAAGAAAUUAAGGGCUCUUCCUUACUGAAAGUUUUUCCCUGAGAAAUAGAAACUUGGCACCUUUGUGCAAAACUUCAAAUGACUUAUUAUUAGGUCAACAAAAUUAAAUAAUGUUGAAGCACUAAGAUUGUUAGAGAAGCUUAAAGAUAUUAUUAUCAUAUUAGUGUCUACACAAUAGUGUAUCAACUUUUAUUCAACAUUAUCACCUUGCUUUUUGAGGCAAAUAUAUUUUGUAUAAAGUAUUGAGAAUGUCUGAGGUGUUUCCUGUACCUCUCCUGGGUUCUCAGUCUUAUCUUGGUAUAUAAAACCAUUCAGGCUUUAGGGGUAUCAUUUUUUUCCAGAUACAAUUUUCCAGAUGAGCCUAUAAUAUUCUGGAAUAAACAACGAACCAUUGUUUAUAAAAUUUAGAACAACCUUGAUAAGCCUCAAGAUUCCACAGCAGGACCAUUGCAAUUCAUAUGACUGGAUGAGGCACGGUAUCAUAGAAACUUAAUUCUGUCGCUAAAAGACAUGUGGUCUUGGGCUAAGGUCUUUCACUGCCUGUCUUUUUCACAACCAUUAUGACCUCUUCUCAGCUGCAGUUUCACCCUGAGGCCUUGUGCAACUGAAGUUGUCUAACUGGGACAGUUACCUGUGCCUGGGCAAGUUGAUACACUUACCACAGGUUGCCUAAUACUGUUUUCUUUUUAGCAUUUUAACUGCUUUGGACUCUGCUUUGGAUUGCACAAGGUUCACUUCUUUUUCUUUUUGUUUAAUAGAAGCUGUUGUGUGACUAAAGAAAUAAAAGGCUAUACAAAUAAGUAUUUAUUGAACACUGUUCCUUGCCCAGCAUUAUGUUAAAUACAGAUACAAAUCAAGGAGACAAUUCUGAAUUUCCCAGUUUUCUGUUUCCAUGGAUAUGGCAGCUUAUAGAAGUCUUGUUCUAUUGCCCAGACUGAAGUAUAGUGGCACCACAUACCUCACUGUACCUGGAACUCCGUGGCCCCACCGUUCUGGAACCAUAGAAAAACAAGACAGAUGGUGCCGAACCCGGGAGGAGACCCCUCCUCAGGGC